rnacentral:lncRNA from 1 species
UGUAAAGAAUGGCACACGUCACGAGUGUGACCAAGUUUAUAACAAUAAGAACACUUGAGUCUCGAUCUUCCAAAACGACCUCCUCCUCGUCUAUACUCUAUACUAUGAGAAGCCCGAUUGUCCACGGAUUGGGAGACGAGGAUAGAUGAAUCAAGUGUCUGUGAUGAGCUCACUGGGUGACUUGGUGCUGUAGCAAGGCGAAGAAGCGAGAGAAUGAUUCAUCAACUGUGGGGACAGUCGGACUAGCCAAAAUCUGAUCGCGUACAGAGUCAAGAUCAUGAGGAAGCCCAGCAAGAGUAAGAACUAGAAACAGCUUUUGUCGUUGCUCUNNN